rnacentral:lncRNA from 1 species
UGUGACGAAUCAGGAGGAGCCGCGGCCACUGCAACCCGCGCCGCACGGCCGUGCACCGGUAUUCGUGACCGGUUAUGUUGGGGACACCGCUCCCUUUUUGGCUUGGCAGGGCCGCGGCGCAUUUAUGGCGAGGUCGAUAGGGGGACCCACGAGAUCGUUAUCCUGAUCCUCUAGUCCGCGCCUGAGGGGAAUAUCCGUCUCGUGGACUCGAGUGAGUCCGACCCCCGCGUCCAGGGUUAGGCGAGGCGGAGUUUCUGUGGUGGGGGUCAGGCGCUCCCGACCCCGGUUCCCUGGGUCGGGCGAGGCGGAACCUUGCAGCGAGGGGUCGGGCGCUCCCGAUCCUAGGACCGCGGUCGGGCGAGGCAGAGUCCCUCCAUCGAGGGGUCGGGAAUGUCCGACCCGGGGCCCUCGGUCGGGCUAGAUGGAGUGGGAUGUUCUCUGCCUUCACUAGGUCGGAUGUAAUCGUAAUUACCGCAGGUGGGCCUUGGCCUUCAUGACUGUCGCUCUAAGCGGUAUUAGGAGGUCGUUAAUAUUUUCCCCCAACAGUAGCCCCCGAGCCUGUGGUGGAGCAAAGGUGCUCCUCCAGAGGCUUUUUUGGUCGGGGAUCUCUGCUCGCCCUGCAAGCUGUGGUGGAUCAGGGGUAGGGAGUGUUGUU